AGGGGCAAGAACUUCUUGUUCUUGUAUGCUUCUCUAAGUGCAGCCUUCUGCUUUUGAGAAAUCACAGUCAAGACCUGAGCGAUAGACAACCUCACCACCUUGAUCUUGGAGAGCUUGUUAGGAGCACCCCCGGUGACCUUAGCAACGCGAAGCAGAGCGAGCUCAGCCUUGAGAUCCUUCAACUGAUUCAAGAGCUCAGUCUUCGACUUCUGUCUCAGCUCAUGGACCUUGAUUCUCGCCAUUUCUUCACACAACGGUGGCCAACUGCUGUAUCUGCU
rnacentral:misc_RNA from 1 species